CGGCCCGCCAGCCGCUGUCUCUGCUGUUAUCCUGCUACCGCGCUCGCUUUCUCUUUUCGCGAGUGUUAUUUUCACUUUUAAACUUUAAAGAUGAAAGGCGAGCGGACACGAAUGAGCCGCUCUCAAGUCUGUGCAAGCAAGCAAGUGCGAGUCUCCAUUUAGGACCGGUGAUUGAGGGCCUCUCGCUCGCCACUAUUCUCCAUUUCAUCGAGCACGGCCGAGCAUGGAAGUUAGGCGUUGGGCUGUUCUCAGAGACAGUGGACAGUUGUGUUUUUGACGCCUGAGAAUGUGAGGGCGGUGCUGUGUCGUCGGUGUGGACCUGACGCCGCGCCGUCUAAAGUCCGCGCCGUACAGCUCGGAUCACUUCCUUGGUGCCUCGUCGUGAACUGGAUGCACUCCAUAGAUGGCAGGAAAUGGCCUACUGUGGAUUUGUGGGAAAGAAGGAAAGGCCAGUGAGCAGGCAUUAAAGGAGCCAAUUGACCAUAAAAAUGCCCCUGGUAAUUUCUACUAUGAAAUGUGCUAUCCUUUUUUACUACCAGUCAAGUCGUGUAAAAGGCAAGUUUGAACAUUGUUAUAUGUGCCUAUUUGUUUCCAGAGCUGUGAAGCAACAUUUUUUGGUAAUUAGUCACAAAAUUACAGUUCAAAGGCUUGUAUUUUGUGCCUAUUUUUUUAAGUAUGGAACCAGUGUUGUAUAGGCAUCUUUAAUAUUUCCCUGAAGAUCAAACUGUGUGGCAAAUAUGGUAAAAUUUACUUAAUGAAAGUUGUCUGCACUCAUCCCUUCAAAUGGUUUUGUUAGGGUAACGAGAUGUAGGAAUGAGCUCCCCACGGCAAAGACUACACUCUGUUACAACCAAAAAAGUGCA